CCUACGGGAGGCUGCAGUGAGGAAUAUUGGUCAAUGGACGAAAGUCUGAACCAGCCAUGUCGCGUGCAGGAUGACGGCCCUAUGGGUUGUAAACUGCUUUUGUAUGAGAGUAAACUGUUCCACGUGUAUUCUUUUGUAUGUACCGUAUGAAUAAGGAUCGGCUAACUCCGUGCCAGCAGCCGCGGUAAUACGGAGGAUCCAAGCGUUAUCCGGAUUUAUUGGGUUUAAAGGGCGCGUAGGUGGAUUGUUAAGUCAGUUGUGAAAGGUUCGGGCUCAACCGGAGAAUUGCAGUUGAAACUGGAAGUCUAGAGGAUAGUAGAGGUGGGCGGAAUUCGUGGUGUAGCGGUGAAAUGCUUAGAGAUCAUGCAGAACACCGAUUGCGAAGGCAGCUUACUGGACUGUAACUGACACUGAGGCGCGAAAGCGUGGGGAGCAAACAGGAUUAGAUACCCUUGUAGUC
rnacentral:rRNA from 1 species